UUCCCCAAAUUGGCAGCCCUCUGCAUCUCCUCAAAAGGUACAUAUUCUUCUUCUCUUAUAGUUAAAAAGCUGUCAUUUUUCAGCCAAAUCCAAACCUUAAAUUGCGUCUCUCCCAAUUUCUUCUUCACUUUAAGGUUUUCUUGCAAGAGUUUAUAGAGAGGUGAGACCAAGUAAUUUUGGGUUACAACAGAGAAACCAAAGUAACGAAAAAGGUGGAUAUAGAUGGGAUAUUGGGUAACCGAGAUUUGAAGCUAGGCAAAUCAAGCAUAUCCAAGAGACGACAAUGGGUUAAAAGAAGAGAAACAUGGCUGGUUAUACUUGGUGUCAUCCUCCAUGCCGUUUACAUGUUAAGCAUUUUCGACAUCUACUUCAAGACCCCCAUUGUUCAUGGCAUGGAUCUUGUCUCCUAUCGCUUCUCUCCUCCUGCUAAACGCCUUGUUCUUCUUGUUGAUGGGCUGGACAUGUUUGAUGGAACUGAUGGUCAUUACUUCCACACGGGGUCAAGGGCUCACCACUCGGUGUGGGAUUCUCGUCUUUUUAAUUAUGGAAGCUGAGAAGUACUGAGGUAUCUUCUUUCAAAUGCAAGAUGGUGGCUGGAGGAGUAUAAUUUUGAUGGGUACAAAUUUGAUGGUGUGACUUCAAUGAUGUACAAGAUUUUCUUGAUUAAGUAAAUGUAUUAUAUCUUUUAUUACUAAGAUUUACUUAAUUAAGAAAAUGCAUUGUAUGUUUUAUUACCUUGCAUAUGUAUUAUUUAUUUUAGUUUUGAUUCUAAAUUUUUAUUUUUACU